rnacentral:rRNA from 1 species
UACAGAGGUCUCAAGCGUUGUUCGGAUUGCAUUGGGCGUAAAGGGUGCGUAGGCGGCGCGGUAAGUCGGGUGUGAAAUCUCGGAGCUUAACUCCGAAACUGCAUUCGAUACUGCCGUGCUUGAGGACUGGAGAGGAGACUGGAAUUUACGGUGUAGCGGUGAAAUGCGUAGAUAUCGUAAGGAAGACCAGUGGCGAAGGCGGGGUCUCUGGACAGUUCCUGGACGGCUGAGGCACGAAGGUCAGGGGAGCAAACGGG